GCUACUCCCGGCAACCUGUCCUGCUGGAAGCUGACCCUUUCCUGCGCUAGGGACUCACUCAUCCCCCCUCCAGGAUUCCCGGGUGGAGCUGCCCUGGGGCACUCCAGGGUUCCUGCAGCCUCUUGCUAGGGCAAGCACCGCGGUGUGAGCUGGAAAAGAAACAUGAAGGUCAGCUGGCCAGGUGAGAACCACUGGCAGGUGGGCCCAGCUGUGGUGGAGAGUCCAGCUGUGGGGGCACCGCAGGUGGGAGGUCUCCCGGACGUGGUUCCGGAGGGCACGCUGCUCAAUAUGGUGCUGAAGAGAAUGCACCGUCCCCGGUGCUGCUCUUACCAGCUAGUGUUCGAGCACCGGCGCCCAAGCUGCAUCCAGGGACUUCGCUGGACGCCACUUACCAACAGUGAGGGCUCCCUGGACUUCAGAGUGAGCCUGGAGCAGGCCACCACAGAGCAUGUGCACAAGGCCGGGAAGCUCCUGUACCGUCAUCUCUUGGCAACGUACCCUACCCUCAUCCGAGACAG
rnacentral:lncRNA from 1 species